UGGUGCAGCAAAACCAAGAGUCACAAUUGCAUAAAAUCCAGGACCCGACGGCUUUGCAGCGAUAACCGCUCGUGAAAAUUUAAAUGACAAGUUUAACGAAUUUAGGUAGACUCGAGAGACAAAAAGGAAGAGAAAGAAAAUUUUUGAAAUGGCUUGAAUGGCAAACCUCGAAACGAUAAAUAUAAUAUAGGAAACGAAACAAAUGAAGAAACACUAAGAACCGCGAAGUAAAACGAAGAAAUCAGAAGAAUAACGAAACGAAAUGAAAAGUGAUUAGUAAAUCAUGACGGUGUAUUGACAUGGAAAUCACUUGCGAGGUUAAAAUACAUGUUAAAUUACGAUUAAGUUGAUAUCGUAUCGAAUCACCAAAGCCAUUUGAUGCCAACAGGCACUAACAGUUUCGAGCUGUCUAUAUCAACAAUAGUGCAAUGCAAGAAUAAAUGUUAUCAAGAACUGAAAGUCGAAUAUUCACAGUUUUAGGCUCAGCUGAGUCUACAUUGAAGCUAUCAUUACUCCCGAUAUUAUUUGAGCCUGGUGUUGUUCCGUCAAGAAGAAUUGUUUGAAGAAUUGUCAAGAAGAUUAAUAGCACGCUGCUAUUGCUAAUUCGAAUUCAUACAAAAGUUGUCAAACCUGCUAUCGAGACUCGAGAGACAAAAAGGAAGAGAAAGAAAAUUUUUGAAAUGGCUUGAAUGGCAAACCUCGAAACGAUAAAUAUAAUAUAGGAAACGAAACAAAUGAAGAAACACUAAGAACCGCGAAGUAAAACGAAGAAAUCAGAAGAAUAACGAAACGAAAUGAAAAGUGAUUAGUAAAUCAUGACGGUGUAUUGACAUGGAAAUCACUUGCGAGGUUAAAAUACAUGUUAAAUUACGA
rnacentral:lncRNA from 1 species